GAGGAGCCCAGAGCCUGAAUCAGUGUGUGUGUUAGUGGAAGCGUCUGGAAAGGCGCGCGAUACAGGGUGACAGCCCCGUACACAAAAAUGCACAUAUUGUGAGCUCGAUGAGUAGGGCGGGACACGUGGUAUCCUGUCUGAAUAUGGGGGGACCAUCCUCCAAGGCUAAAUACUCCUGACUGACCGAUAGUGAACCAGUACCGUGAGGGAAAGGCGAAAAGAACCCCGGCGAGGGGAGUGAAAAAGAACCUGAAACCGUGUACGUACAAGCAGUGGGAGCCUCUUAAUGGGGUGACUGCGUACCUUUUGUAUAAUGGGUCAGCGACUUAUAUUCUGUAGCAAGGUUAACCGAAUAGGGGAGCCGAAGGGAAACCGAGUCUUAACUGGGCGUUAAGUUGCAGGGUAUAGACCCGAAACCCGGUGAUCUAGCCAUGGGCAGGUUGAAGGUUGGGUAACACUAACUGGAGGACCGAACCGACUAAUGUUGAAAAAUUAGCGGAUGACUUGUGGCUGGGGGUGAAAGGCCAAUCAAACCGGGAGAUAGCUGGUUCUCCCCGAAAGCUAUUUAGGUAGCGCCUCGUGAAUUCAUCUCCGGGGGUAGAGCACUGUUUCGGCAAGGGGGUCAUCCCGACUUACCAACCCGAUGCAAACUGCGAAUACCGGAGAAUGUUAUCACGGGAGACACACGGCGGGUGCUAACGUCCGUCGUGAAGAGGGAAACAACCCAGACCGCCAGCUAAGGUCCCAAAGUCAUGGUUAAGUGGGAAACGAUGUGGGAAGGCCCAGACAGCCAGGAUGUUGGCUUAGAAGCAGCCAUCAUUUAAAGAAAGCGUAAUAGCUCACUGGUCGAGUCGGCCUGCGCGGAAGAUGUAACGGGGCUAAACCAUGCACCGAAGCUGCGGCAGCGACACUAUGUGUUGUUGGGUAGGGGAGCG
rnacentral:rRNA from 2 species